GAGCCUCCAAUCAGUCAAGAAUACCCGC
rnacentral:rRNA from 1 species